AGUGAACGCUGGCGGUAGGCCUAACACAUGCAAGUCGAACGGCAGCACAGUAAGAGCUUGCUCUUACGGGUGGCGAGUGGCGGACGGGUGAGGAAUACAUCGGAAUCUACUUUUUCGUGGGGGAUAACGUAGGUAAACUUACGCUAAUACCGCAUACGACCUACGGGUGAAAGCAGGGGAUCUUCUGACCUUGCGCGAUUGAAUGAGCCGAUGUCGGAUUAGCUAGUUGGCGGGGUAAAGGCCCACCAAGGCGAGGAUCCGUAGCCGGUCUGAGAGGAUGAUCAGCCACACUGGAACGGAGACACGGUCCAGACGCCUACGGGAGGCAGCAGUGGGGAAUAUUGGACAAUGGGCGCAAGCCUGAUCCAGCCAUACCGCGUGGGUGAAGAAGGCCUUCGGGUUGUAAAGCCCUUUUGUUGGGAAAGAAAAGCAGCAGGUUAAGACCCCGCUGUUCUGACGGUACCCAAAGAAUAAGCACCGGCUAACUUCGUG
rnacentral:rRNA from 1 species